rnacentral:rRNA from 1 species
GGAAGGCAGCAGGCGCGCACAUUACCCAAUCCCGACUCGGGGAGGUAGUGACAAUAAAUAACAAUGCUGGGCUAUCGUAGUCCGGCAAUUGGAAUGAGAACAAUUUAAAUCCCUUAACGAGGAACAAUUGGAGGGCAAGUCUGGUGCCAGCAGCCGCGGUAAUUCCAGCUCCAAUAGCGUAUAUUAAAGUUGUUGCAGUUAAAAAGCUCGUAGUUGGAUUUCGGGGCGGCCCGACUGGUCCGCCGCGAGGUGAGCACUGGUCGGCCGCCCUUCCUCUCGGAAGCCCCGACUGCUCUUCGCUGCAGUGGUCGGGGAGUUCGGGACGUUUACUUUGAAAAAAUUAGAGUGUUCAAGGCAGGCCGUCGCCUGAAUACAUUAGCAUGGAAUAAUGGAAGAGGACCUCGGUCCCGUUUUGUUGGUUUCUUGGACCGAAGUAAUGAUUAAGAGGGACAGUU